rnacentral:rRNA from 1 species
AUGAGAGCUUCUCCCCCCUCCUCCUCGCCGUGCCUUCAUGGCCACGGAGGCAAGGUGGCGUGUGCCGUGGCCGCCUGCCUCGCGCUCGUGACCUUCCUGGUGGUCGCCUUGGAUCCCAGGACCGGAGCUUCGUCCUGGUUCCUCUCUUCCUCGUCUUCCUUUCUCUCCUCCUUGAGGCCAACCGCGAGGGGUGGCAGCAAUGGGGGCGCCGCCCCUCUCUUCGCGACCUCCAGCUACGCUGCUGCCGGCGGCAAGAACAGCAGCGUCAAGGCGGUGCUCUUCCGGCAGCAAGACGCUGCCGGCGGCCACCCGGCCGUGGCUUCCGUCGUCAGCGUCGGCGACCCGCCGCCUCACGUCUCCGUCGCGCCGGCGCCGGCGCCGGCUCCGGAAAGUGGAUUUGACGAUGCUGCUAGCCCGGGCGGCACGGUUGAAGUAAGGGUGCCAUUAAUGCAGGGGAGGGUGGAUGUAAAACUGGAAAAGGUAGAACUUGGUCUCGCGAAAGCUCGUUUAGUGAUAAGGGAAGCUAUCCGAAACAAGGACAAGCGUCCUCCCCUAACCGACAGGGAUUAUGUGCCGGUUGGACCGGUGUACAGGAAUGCCUACGCAUUUCACAGGAGCUACUUGGAGAUGGAAAAGCUGUUCAAGGUGUACGUGUACGAAGAAGGCGAGCCACCGGUGUUCCACGACGGUCCGUGCCGCAGCAUAUAUUCAUCGGAGGGCAGAUUCAUAUUUGCCAUGGAGAUGGAGAACCGGAUGCGCACGAGGGACCCCGAGCUUGCCCAUGUCUUCUUCCUUCCCUUCAGUGUCGUCAAGAUGGUGAAGAUGAUCUACGAGCCCAACUCGCAUGACAUGGAGCCGCUGCGCCGGACUCUCUCGGACUACAUCGACGUUCUGUCCACCAAGUACCCGUACUGGAACAGGAGCCUCGGCGCCGACCAUUUCAUGCUCUCCUGCCACGACUGGGGGCCAUAUGUGUCGUCGGCGGACGGCCAUCUCUUCUCCAACUCCAUCCGCGUGCUGUGCAACGCCAACACCUCCGAGGGCUUCAACCCAUCCAAGGACGUGUCGCUGCCGGAGAUCAACCUCCGGACCGACAUCAUAGCUGAUCAGGUCGGCGGGCCAUCAGCGUCGCACCGCCCCAUCCUGGCCUUCUUCGCCGGCGGCGACCAUGGCCCCGUUCGGCCACUGCUCCUGCAGCACUGGAAGGGCAAGGACGCCGACGUGCAGGUGAGCGAGUACCUGCCCCGCGGCGUGUCGUACAUCAACGUGAUGCGGCGGAGCAAGUUCUGCCUGUGCCCCAGCGGCUACGAGGUGGCCAGCCCCAGGGUGGUGGAGGCCAUCUACCUCGAGUGCGUGCCGGUCGUCAUCGGCGACGACUACGUGCUGCCCUUCAGCGACGUGCUAAACUGGCCCGCCUUCUCCGUGCGGGUCGCCGUGGCGGACAUACCCAACCUCAAGACCAUCCUCGCCGCCGUGUCGCCGCGGCAGUACAUACGGAUGCAGCGCCGGGUGAGGACCGUGCGCCGGCACUUCAUGGUCAACGGCCCGCCGCGCCGGUUCGACGUCUUCCACAUGAUCCUCCACUCCAUCUGGCUCAGGAGGCUCAACGUCAGGCUCCAUGCGCAAGACUACUGA